CGGCACGUAAUGAAACACGUUCACCAAAUACAGCAUAAAUGUCUUCUAUUAUUCUUUUGCAUCUGAUCCUGUAAACACAGAAGCCUGUACUUUCAUCAACAGUAGCUCACAGAAUGGGACUGCACUGUUGCCAGAUCCAUAAUGCUGAAGGUCUCCUUUCAGAUGACUUUCAGAGGAGCAGAUUUUCAAGUCCAAGAACUGAAAUCCAACUCCUAAAUCAGAAGAUUCUCCGAAGGGGACAAGAAAUACAUUAACGAGUACAGAGGACAUUUUUUACUAAGAGGAAAGAGUUUUUUGAGCUGCUCUGAGAGAAGAAAUCUCUCAGGCUGAAUUCAGACAAGCUUUUAAGUACUAAUCAACUCAAAAGGUUUGAGUUCAAUGAGACAUUUCACAUGCUUAAGCUGAGACUUUUUUA
rnacentral:lncRNA from 1 species